GUGCUCGUUUUUGCAGCACAUGAACAAAAAUUGGAACAAUACAGAGAAUAUUAACAUGGUCACUGCCCAAGGAGGACACACAAAUUCAGGAAUCAUUCCAUAUUGGU